AGACCUAGGUAGUCCUAUAUAUGAAAUAUGAUAGGACUAAACUCUUAAUCCGAUUUAAGCAUUUUGAAUGAUGGUUAGGUCCAAAAGUUAAGAAAGUUAAGCAUGUUAGGAUGGGAGUAGUACUAGAAUAUGUGACCCUCUGGAAAGCUGGAGCGUCACAGAUGGUAUCAGAGUCAAUUAUCAGCAGGAAGUGCGAGAUGAGUCUCGACUGAGCUAUGAUUGUACAGUGAAGAGAGCGAGACUCUCAUACUGUUGACUAUUGUGGGUAGAGCGCGGCUCUCCCAUAAGAUCGGUUUAGUCUAACGAGACGAGUCUCACAUCGCCUGAUAUUUUUAAGUUUGAGCCUAACGGAAACGUCAAGGCUUAAAAAGAGGAGAUUGUGAGAUCCCAAGUAGCCAUAUAUAUGAGAUAUAAUAGGGCUAAACUCUUAAUCCGAUUUAAGUAUUUUGGAUGAUGGCUUAAGUUCAAAAAGUUAAAAGAGUUAAGUGUGUUCGGACGGGAGUAGUUCUAGAAUAGAUGAUCCUUUUGGGAAGCUGGGGCGUCACAGCAAGAGGGCGGAGAUUGCG
rnacentral:lncRNA from 1 species